rnacentral:lncRNA from 1 species
UCACUUUUUGAUUGUUUCAACAGCAAGGUAAACAACAACUUGCUUGAAGAAGAAGUACAUACACCUACCCCACUUUUGACACGGAUGAUCACUGAUGAACCUAUUGAUGGAGGAAGCAUUUGAAUUUGGCAAAGAAUGUAUCUAUUCUGGUGAUGUUCUUUGAGAUGAAUACCUUAUAGAGUUUGUAGCUUGAAAAUGUGAACACUUUUGUUUCUUUGUUAGUAAGAAAAUCUUUUCUAAUCUUUUCCUUCCAAAUUUAAACCAAUUUCCCGACUUUUGAAUAGUAGAUAUAAUGGAUGAAUAGACAUGGUGGAAUGAUUUUUUUUCCUUCCAAAACAACAUGGAUAUAGAUAGUGAAAUUGAAGCAAUUGGUGAAACUCCUUCAACAUCUGUUCCUCCACUUCCACCAUCAUGUUUAGGGAAGAGAAAAAAUAGAAAACACUUCACAAUUAUAGGGAAUUCAAAAGCAGAAGAUGUUAGGUGUACAUGCAACUAUUAUGGGUAGGAUUAUGGUUGUAGGGCUAGGAAGUAUGAGACCGGUACCUUGAAGAAUCAUUUGGUUCUUUAUUGUAAGAAGUAUCCCGAAAGAUUGGAAGAUAAACGACAAACUAAGGGUGGUGUGAACAUUCUAGUUGGCUUUAAUAAGGAAGAGUGCAGGUUUGUAUGUACUAAGAUGAUAAUAUUUGAUGAAUUACCUUUUAGAUUUGUCGAAGGUGAGGGGUUUAGACAAUUUUGUAGGCUAGCAUGUCCUAAAUUUGAUCCUUCAUCUUGUAGAAUUGUUGUUAGAGAUAUUUAUUAGUUGUAGUUGGAUAAAAAAUUGCAAUUUAAAAAGAUCAUCCAACGUUAAAGAGUUUCUCUUACUACUGAUACUUGGAGUUCCAUUCAAAAUAUUAAUUCUAUGUGUCUCACAGCACACUUUGUUGAUUUUGAUUGGAAGCUUCAUAAAUGGAUUUUGGCCUUCCGUGUGAUUGCUAAUCAUAAAGGUAAAACCAUUGGUAAAGUUGAUGAAACUUGUUUGCAUGUAUGGGGUAUUAAGAGAUUAUUUACAAUCAUAGUUGAUAAUGCAACUCUAAAUGAAACAGCUAUUUCUUAUAUUAAGAGGAAGAUGAUUGGUCAAAGUGGUGAUGGGUGUGUUUAGAUGGAAAGUAUCUAUACAUGAGGUGUUGUGCACAUAUUAUUAAUUUGAUUGUGUGUGAGGGGUUGAAGGAAGCACAUGAUUUAAUUGUUAGUAUUCGAAAUGCAAUAAAGUUAAUUAUGUGGAUAGAUGCUUGUUAGAUGCUUGUGAAGAUAUAAAGGACGAUACUUUUGAUGUUUUUAAUUGGUGGAAGGUGAAUGGAAACAAAUAUGGUGCAUUGUCAAAACUUGCAAGAGAUGUAAUGGCUAUUCAAGUGCCUACUAUGGCCUCAGAAAUUGCUUUCAGUACCGAAGGAAGAAUUCUUAAUCCAUUUCAUAGUUCUUUAACUCCUAGGAUGGUGGAAGUUUUGGUGUGUACAGAAAAUUGGAUUAAAGAGUCUACAAGCAUGGAGAAAUUCUAUAUGGAAGAUGUGGAGGAAUAUAAUAAGUUGGAUCAAAGUAAUGUAGCUAUUCCAUGAUUCAUGUUAAAUAUGUAUUUUAUCGAAUUAUUCCUCAUUUAAUUAUUAUUUUUUUGUAGAACUUUUGGAAUCAGAGAAAUCAAAUGAAGGCUAAAUCAAUGUGAUUAGUUCAUUUCUAAAUUUUUGAGGUAGAUAUGUAUUCAAAUGUGCUUUACUCUUUAUUAAUGUAAUAUUUAUCGUUUUUCUCUAACUAUUUCUAUUAUUUGUAUUGUAGGAAUGAUGCUUAAAGCUUACGCGAUAACUCGGAAGUCGUAACAUUUUACCUUAUUAUUUGUUUUAUGAGAAUUUUGAUUUUGGAUUAUUGUAGC